UGGGGAAUAUUGGACAAUGGGCGAAAGCCUGAUCCAGCCAUGCCGCGUGUGUGAAGAAGGCCUUUUGGUUGUAAAGCACUUUAAGCGAGGAGGAGGCCACUUAGAUUAAUACUCUAGGAUAGUGGACGUUACUCGCAGAAUAAGCACCGGCUAACUCUGUGCCAGCAGCCGCGGUAAUACAGAGGGUGCGAGCGUUAAUCGGAUUUACUGGGCGUAAAGCGUGCGUAGGCGGCUUUUUAAGUCGGAUGUGAAAUCCCUGAGCUUAACUUAGGAAUUGCAUUCGAUACUGGGAAGCUAGAGUAUGGGAGAGGAUGGUAGAAUUCCAGGUGUAGCGGUGAAAUGCGUAGAGAUCUGGAGGAAUACCGAUGGCGAAGGCAGCCAUCUGGCCUAAUACUGACGCUGAGGUACGAAAGCAUGGGGAGCAAACAGG
rnacentral:rRNA from 1 species